ACUGAUCGGUGUCGUGUCUUUAAACUCGCUCUUCUGCUUUCAAGGCUGACUGUGAAGAGGACACAGAAACCAGCCAAAUCAAGAUGUUUCACUCUUCAGACUGUGAUUUUGCUCUCGUCCAUCCUUUGUGUGCAUCGUGGGCUUCUUACUCUGUUUCUUUUUGGAUUUUUAUCCUCUGUUUCGUUUUAGUCAAAGGAAAAUCUCAUCUGGUGUGUCCAUCUCAGGUUGUAGCCAUGAUGGGUGAUGAUGUUGUUCUUCCAUGUCAGCUUAAACUUGCUGUUGAUACAAAC